rnacentral:rRNA from 1 species
CAGUCGCCACGGUAAUACGAAGGGUGCAAGCGUUAAUCGGAAUUACUGGGCGUAAAGCGUGCGUAGGCGGUGAGUUAAGUCUGCUGUGAAAUCCCCGGGCUCAACCUGGGAAUGGCAGUGGAUACUGGCUCGCUAGAGUGUGUCAGAGGAUGGUGGAAUUCCCGGUGUAGCGGUGAAAUGCGUAGAGAUCGGGAGGAACAUCAGUGGCGAAGGCGGCCAUCUGGGACAACACUGACGCUGAGGCACGAAAGCGUGGGGAGCAAACAGGAUUAGAUACCCGCGUAGUCCCUGUCUCUUAUAC